rnacentral:rRNA from 1 species
GACGAACGCUGGCGGCGUGCUUAACACAUGCAAGUCGAACGGAAAGGCCCUGCUUUUGUGGGGUGCUCGAGUGGCGAACGGGUGAGUAACACGUGAGUAACCUGCCCUUGACUUUGGGAUAACUUCAGGAAACUGGGGCUAAUACCGGAUAGGAGCUCCUGCUGCAUGGUGGGGGUUGGAAAGUUUCGGCGGUUGGGGAUGGACUCGCGGCUUAUCAGCUUGUUGGUGGGGUAGUGGCUUACCAAGGUUUUGACGGGUAGCCGGCCUGGCAGGGUGACAGGCUCCAUUGGCCUAGGGAUACGACCCAGACUGAUACGGGAGGCAGCGGUGGGGAACAGUGGGAGAUGGGCGGAGGCCGGAUGCAGCAACGCCGCGUGCGGGAUGACGGCCUUCGGGUAGUAAACCGCUUUCGCGUGUGACGAAGCGUGAGUGACGGUAAUGGGUAAAGAAGCGCCGGCUAACUACGU